rnacentral:lncRNA from 1 species
AUGAAAAAGAACAGAAAAUAUGUGUCAAUUGAUAGUAGCAAAAUUAAAUUUGUCGAAAAUUCUGAAUCUGAAGAUGUAGAAUUUAUUAACACAGAUGAAAGUGAUGCUGUUGAAUUAGAUUCAGAUUACAGUUUAUUAAGUAGUGACAAUUCUGCUAAAAAUGAAGUACAAAAUGAUGAAGAAAAUGAUGAAGAAAAUGGAGAGAAAAAAACAAAUGAUGACUAUGUAAAAAUUUCAUGGAAAAAAGAUAAGAAAGAUUAUUACCAAGAUGAAAGUGAAGAAUCAUCUAGUGAUGAUGAUGAUAAUGAUGGAGGUAGUGAUAGUGAUGGAGGUAGUGAUAGUGAUGGAGGUAGUGAUAGUGAUGGAGAUGGUGGUAGUCAAAAUGAAGAAGAAGGAGAUAUAAACACCGAAAAGGACAAAAAGAAAAAGUACAAAAUCAGUAAAAGUUUGAUAACAGAAUACACUGACAGCCAUAUUCGAGAAAAACUAAAAGAAGAAAAAAAAAAGAAAAGAGAUAGUAUAAAAAAUGAAAGAAGUAUAUUGUUAAAAGAGAUAAAAGAUAUGGUUUCUACCCGUCCUGAAAAAGUAGAAGAUUCAAAUUAUUUUAAAAAAAUAGAAUCAAAACUUUUAGAUUUUGAUGAAAAGAUUUUAAAUAGAAAAUUAAAAAUAUCAAAUAAAAAAAAAAAAAAACAUAUAAAUAAUUUAAGUAAUGUUGGUAUGACAUCAAUCGAUUUAUUAAAAUUUGUUGAAUUGUCAGGAAAGAAUGAAGAAAAUAAUAAUAGUAAUAAUAAUAAUAAUAAUAAUAAUAAUAGGACAAAAAAUUAUGGCAAUAAUAAAAAUCAAAUGGUGGAAGAAGAAAGAAAAAUAUUUAAAAAUAAUAUCCAUAAGGUAAAACAAAUGAACAAAAGUAAAUUUUCUACAAGCAAUAAUGAUGAUAAACAAAAUGAUGAUUUUGUGACAUAUAAAACGUUCGAAAAAAAUAAAAAUAAUAAAAAAGUAUCUUUUAGUAUGGAAGAACAUAACACAGAAAAUACCAAUUUAAUAAAACUAGGAAACAAAUCAGAGUAUUCCUCCCAAAUUAAAGAUGAACAAAUUCAAAAUAUGUUUAACUAUUUGAAAAAGAAAAAAGAAAAUAAAAAAUUAAUUAGCCAAGAAAAAAAUAAAGAAAUAAGAAAAAAACUAGUUGACGAAGAAAAUGAAAUAAUUGAUAGACGAAUGCCCAAUAAAAAUAUUAUACAAAAUAAAGGUCUAAUCAGGAAAAGAAAAUCAACCGACGGUAAUGCAAGAGUCCAUAACAAACAAAAAUAUCAAAAGAAAUUAAAGGUAUUUAACACACAACAUGCUAAAUUAAAAACUCACGAGCACAACUAUUCGGGAGAAAAACGAGGAAUCAAUCCUUACUUGAAAAAAUCAGUAGAUAUAAAGUGAAGUUUAUAUUGUUCAGAUGGACGGAUAAAGUAGUGAAUACGUGUAAAUAUUUAUAUAUAUAUAUAUAUAUAUAUAUAUAUAUAUAUGUUCUAUUUUUUUUUUUUUUUUUUUUUUGUUUGUUUUUUUUUUUACAUAUUACAUUUACCCCUCUGCUUUUACGUAUACGUAUGCAUAUACAUAUAUAUACAUACGAGUAUUUUUUUUUUUUUUUUUUUACAACAUAAAUACUAUUUUAAAAGCAUUUUUUAAUUUUCAUAAAAUUUAAAAAUUUUUAUAUAUUUUAUUUUAUUAAUGUGUUUAAAUUAUAAGUACAUACUUUUUUUAAAAAAGUUUAUUUUGUUACGUCUAAUUUUACAUAUAUCAACUUAUUUAUACGGGGCAUUUAAAAAGAAAUAAAAAUACCCUUUCUGAGUAUUCA